rnacentral:rRNA from 1 species
CUCCAAGGCUAAAUACUCCUGACUGACCGAUAGUGAACCAGUACCGUGAGGGAAAGGCGAAAAGAACCCCGGCGAGGGGAGUGAAAAAGAACCUGAAACCGUGUACGUACAAGCAGUGGGAGCACGCUUAGGCGUGUGACUGCGUACCUUUUGUAUAAUGGGUCAGCGACUUAUAUUCUGUAGCAAGGUUAACCGAAUAGGGGAGCCGAAGGGAAACCGAGUCUUAACUGGGCGUUAAGUUGCAGGGUAUAGACCCGAAACCCGGUGAUCUAGCCAUGGGCAGGUUGAAGGUUGGGUAACACUAACUGGAGGACCGAACCGACUAAUGUUGAAAAAUUAGCGGAUGACUUGUGGCUGGGGGUGAAAGGCCAAUCAAACCGGGAGAUAGCUGGUUCUCCCCGAAAGCUAUUUAGGUAGCGCCUCGUGAAUUCAUCUCCGGGGGUAGAGCACUGUUUCGGCAAGGGGGUCAUCCCGACUUACCAACCCGAUGCAAACUGCGAAUACCGGAGAAUGUUAUCACGGGAGACACACGGCGGGUGCUAACGUCCGUCGUGAAGAGGGAAACAACCCAGACCGCCAGCUAAGGUCCCAAAGUCAUGGUUAAGUGGGAAACGAUGUGGGAAGGCCCAGACAGCCAGGAUGUUGGCUUAGAAGCAGCCAUCAUUUAAAGAAAGCGUAAUAGCUCACUGGUCGAGUCGGCCUGCGCGGAAGAUGUAACGGGGCUAAACCAUGCACCGAAGCUGCGGCAGCGACGCUUAUGCGUUGUUGGGUAGGGGAGCGUUCUGUAAGCCUGCGAAGGUGUGCUGUGAGGCAUGCUGGAGGUAUCAGAAGUGCGAAUGCUGACAUAAGUAACGAUAAAGCGGGUGAAAAGCCCGCUCGCCGGAAGACCAAGGGUUCCUGUCCAACGUUAAUCGGGGCAGGGUGAGUCGACCCCUAAGGCGAGGCCGAAAGGCGUAGUCGAUGGGAAACAGGUUAAUAUUCCUGUACUUGGUGUUACUGCGAAGGGGGGACGGAGAAGGCUAUGUUGGCCGGGCGACGGUUGUCCCGGUUUAAGCGUGUAGGCUGGUUUUCCAGGCAAAUCCGGAAAAUCAAGGCUGAGGCGUGAUGACGAGGCACUACGGUGCUGAAGCAACAAAUGCCCUGCUUCCAGGAAAAGCCUCUAAGCAUCAGGUAACAUCAAAUCGUACCCCAAACCGACACAGGUGGUCAGGUAGAGAAUACCAAGGCGCUUGAGAGAACUCGGGUGAAGGAACUAGGCAAAAUGGUGCCGUAACUUCGGGAGAAGGCACGCUGAUAUGUAGGUGAAGUCCCUUGCGGAUGGAGCUGAAAUCAGUCGAAGAUACCAGCUGGCUGCAACUGUUUAUUAAAAACACAGCACUGUGCAAACACGAAAGUGGACGUAUACGGUGUGACGCCUGCCCGGUGCCGGAAGGUUAAUUGAUGGGGUCAGCGCAAGCGAAGCUCUUGAUCGAAGCCCCGGUAAACGGCGGCCGUAACUAUAACGGUCCUAAGGUAGCGAAAUUCCUUGUCGGGUAAGUUCCGACCUGCACGAAUGGCGUAAUGAUGGCCAGGCUGUCUCCACCCGAGACUCAGUGAAAUUGAACUCGCUGUGAAGAUGCAGUGUACCCGCGGCAAGACGGAAAGACCCCGUGAACCUUUACUAUAGCUUGACACUGAACAUUGAGCCUUGAUGUGUAGGAUAGGUGGGAGGCUUUGAAGUG